AUUGAACGCUGGCGGCAGGCCUAACACAUGCCAGUCGAGCGGAGCGGCGGACGGGUGAGUAAUGCCUAGGAAUCUGCCUGGUAGUGUGGGAUAACGUCCGGAAACGGCCGCUAAUACCGCAUCCUAUCAGCUGAGCCUAGUUCGGAUUAGCGAGUUGGUGGGGUAAAGGGCUACCAAGGCGACGAUCCGUAACUGGUCUGAUAGGAUGAUCAGUCACACGGGAACUGAGACACGGUCCAGACUCGUACGGGAGGCAGCAGUGGGGAAUAUUGGACAAUGGGCGAAAGCCUGAUCAAGCAAUGACGCGUGUGUGAAGAAGGUCGUCGGAUUGUAAAGCACUUUAAGUUGGGAGGCGUUACCAACAGAAUAAGCACCGGCUAACUUCGUGCCAGCAGCCGCGGUAAUAC
rnacentral:rRNA from 1 species